rnacentral:rRNA from 2 species
UACAGAGGGUGCAAGCGUUAAUCGGAAUUACUGGGCGUAAAGCGCGCGUAGGUGGUUUGUUAAGUUGGAUGUGAAAGCCCCGGGCUCAACCUGGGAACUGCAUCCAAAACUGGCAAGCUAGAGUACAGUAGAGGGUGGUGGAAUUUCCUGUGUAGCGGUGAAAUGCGUAGAUAUAGGAAGGAACACCAGUGGCGAAGGCGACCACCUGGACUGAUACUGACACUGAGGUGCGAAAGCGUGGGGAGCAAACAGG